GACGAACGCUGGCGGCGUGCUUAACACAUGCAAGUCGAACGGAAAGGCCCUGCUUUUGUGGGGUGCUCGAGUGGCGAACGGGUGAGUAACACGUGAGUAACCUGCCCUUGACUUUGGGAUAACUUCAGGAAACUGGAGCUAAUACCGGAUAGGAGCUCCUGCUGCAUGGUGGGGGUUGGAAAGAUUCGGCGGUUGGGGAUGGACUCGCGGCUUAUCGGCUUGUUGGUGGGGUAGUGGCUUACCACGGCUUUGACGAGUAGCCGGCCUGAGAGGGUGACCGGGCACAUUGGGACUGGGAUGCGGCCCGGACGCAUACGUGAGGAAGCAGUGGAGAAUAGUGCAAGAAGGGCGGAAGCCGGAAGCAGCAACGCCGCGUGCGAGAUGACGGCCUUCGGGGUGUAAACCGCUUUCGCCUGUGACGAAGCGUGAGUGACGGUAAUGGGUAAGGAAGCACCGGCUAACUACGUG
rnacentral:rRNA from 1 species